UGCGUGCAUGCGUGCGCGCGUAUGUGUGCAUCUGUAUAUGGAUUCUAACCGUGGUGUGUUGCCGUGUAAGCAUGGAACAGCAUCAGUGACACUCGAUGGAUUGGAACCGUGACAUGGCUGUUUUAGACUGACACUGCAGUGUGAAUUUAAUGUUACUUCUUAGGAGAUUAAUGCGGAGUGACCAGUACUCAUGAUCAUGACCACGGCGAAGUCAUCAGCGUUUAAGCUCGAUGCAAUCUGCAACAAACUCAAGUCGGCGCCACAGCAGCGCCAAGGCGAUGCGCCCGACUCCCUCCAGGGGGCGGCACCGGACGAAAAGCAGCUGCGCAAGAACCGGCGUAAGUGCUCGACGCCGCGGAGCAUCCACCAGAG